rnacentral:lncRNA from 1 species
ACCAUUGGAAUCUCAAGUAAUUGAGGCUUUACAAGCUGAAAUUCCAGUCCCCAUUUUCACAGUUGGUCCAACAAUCCCUUACAUGGAUACCGAAUUAAACACUAACAAGCCUAGUCCAAACUACUUGUUAUGGCUUGAUGAUCAACCUAAGGACUCUGUUCUAUACAUAUCCCAAGGAAGUUUCUUGUCAGUAUCAAAUACACAGUUAGAUGAAAUUAUAGCGGGCAUGCACAGCAGUGGUGUCCGUACAUUUUGGGUGGCACGUGAAACUUCUUCCUUACUUACAGAUGGAAUUGGGAAGAGGGGAAUCGUGGUGCCUUGGUGCAUUUGCUGGAUUUUGGUCGCAUUGUGGAUGGAAUUCAACCAAGGAAGGUGCAUUUGCUGGCGUUCCAUUUCUUACGUUCCCCAUUGUGGCUUACCAACUGUAAACAAAUAGUGGAGGACUGGAAGAUUGGGUGGAGGGUCAAUAAGGAAAGUGAGAACCUGGUUAAGAGAGAUGAAAUUGCUCUACUUGUGCAGAGUUUUAUGGACCUUGGCAGCUACCACGGAAGAGAAAUGAGGAAAAAAGCAAUGGGAAUACGAAAGAUCUUUCAAGAGUCAAUUGAAAGUGGAUCCAUUCAAGGAAAUAUUAACAAGUUCAUUCGGGAUAUUUCUCGAGGCCCAAGUCAAUAAUGUUUGGUUAUAGAGAAGUUAUGCAGAUAUAGUCUGUAUGAACUAAAUAAAUAUAAAAAUUAUUUCUGUAAUAUGUUUCACUUGGGAAGAGUAUCCAACUCUUUAUUGAAUAAAACACAAACAAGCUAAGCGCUGCCAAUGUUUCUACCUACUGUUAUUCACAGGCAUCCUGCCGAUGUUUCGACAUGCUGCUUUUGUGGAGAAAGAAACUAGUAUCAACUACUUGAUACUGUAAUCUAAUCUGCAAUAUUAGAAAUUUGAUCAUUGCACACAACAAUAAUAUUGUGUGACUUCAUGUCACAGUGACUGAUUAUUCCUCUGUUGUGAAUGUGACUAAGCCCUAAAACAGCUUUCUUUGUGUAUUUUGCACUUCAAACUUGGAUAACAGUUGUUCUUGUGUCACUAUAUAGUAUUUCUCAACAUACUAACAACUCAUAUCUUUUUUAACUUUCCUGUGUCAGUGAUGGUUCAAAAUCACUGUGUGACUAUAGAUUAAGUAAAGGAAAAGGAAUUAGAAGAUACACAAGUAUAUUAUGUAUAAAAUAUUACCUUCAUACUUUUUCUAUUGAUUUGAUUAUGUUAACAAAUAUAUUAAGUACUUCUUCUAGAUAUACAAAAUUAUUAAAUUAAUUUUUUUUUAUAUAUUUUUAUUUAUGAUAACUAAAUAAGAUCUAAAUAUCAAAUAUUAAUAUACAUGUAUGAUAUAUAAUAGCACUUAAUUAUUAUGGAAAUAUCAUAAAAAACUUGCGGUAAGAAUGAUUAUUAAAUUAACUUUUUAUGUAUUUUUAUUUAUAAUAAGUAAAUAAGAUCUAAAUGCCAAAUAUAAAUAUACAUGUAUUCAAAGGCUAUUCAGGAUUUCGGAAGGAUGGGCGCACUAUUACGAAAAAAUACAAGAUAUAAAUUUAAUUGUUUUAGAAUAAUACUUCCUCUGUUUACUUUAACUUAUCCGGUAUACAAAAAUAUUUUUUCUCUUUGAUUUUAACUUUUAACUUUUCAAGAAAAUAUAAUUAUUUUUUUCAUAUUUCAUCUUUAAUAUUAAUUACUUAUUUCUUAAAUUAUUUUUGAAGACUUAAUAAUUAAUAGAAUAUUAUAGUUUUGAAUAUGCUAAAUCUGACGAGGUAUAACUAAAACGAAGGAGUAUUUCUUACUUAGGAGCACAACAUGAUAAGUAAGAAAGCAGUCAAAGUUGCUGCCCAACACAACCUUCGUCUUCACUGAUCAUCAAUCUGGUCAACUUUGUCAGUCCUAAAACCCUAGUUUUUCGCUUUUCCAAUUCAUAAAUAAAUGGAAACUACUCAACCUCUAUUUAGUUGCCAUAUAUUGGCGAUUCCAUAUCCAGGUAGAGGCCACAUCAAUCCUUUGAUGAAUCUGUGCAAGCUCAUAGCUACAACGUCCAAACCAAAUCAUCUACUACAAAUCUCUUUUAUUGUAACUGAAGAGUGGUUCAGCUUUUUGAAAUCAGAGCCAAAACCAGAUAAUAUUCAAUUUCAAACAAUUCCAAAUGUAAUUCCAUCAGAAAAGGAUCGAAGCAAAGAUUUGUUGGGGUUCGUGGAAGCUGUGUAUACUAAGAUGGAAGCUCCCAUUGAUAGUAUACUUGACGGGCUUCCGAAGCCCAAUGUGAUUUUAGCUGAUUCGUUAUUGCCGUGGGCCGUCGGUAUUGGGGAACGGAGAAAUAUUCCGGUGGCUUCAUUUUGGACCAUGUCUGCCACGGUUUUCUCCAUCCUUCAUCACCAUCAACUACUCUUGGCUAAUGGACAUUUUGAAGUCAAUUUGGCAGGUAUACUUGUUUUUAAGUUGUUAGAUUGAUGCCCUGUUUGAAUAUUGUUGGUUGAAGGACACAAUUGGUUGUCACAACUUUUUAUUAUAUUACAAUUUUGAUCACUCACUUGUUGCUUGCUUUAGCAAUACUCUUUACUUAACACUCACUAUUAUUUUCUUACUUGAUUACUUGGUUACAAUUCAAAUGAAUCACCUCUAUUUAUUGAUAGUGAUAGAAGAAUCUAGCUAAAGAUUUUUCUACUAUGUUCUGUUCUUCUAACUACCUAUUUUUAUAACUAUUUUUUUUAGAACAUUUCUAGACUUUUGUUUCAAGAAUAUGCAUUCUUGUAUUUCUUUACAACUCAUUAAUAUUCUAGAUUCUUCUUUGAAAUAUCUUGGAAAUUAAUUAAGAUGGUGAUCAAUUCUUAAUAUGCAUGUCAUGUAAUUGUAACCUUAACAGUUUGAUAUAACUGCAAACAUAUUUCCUUUCCACCGGGCGGUGUCGGCUGAGUUAGAAUUUUGCAUUAAAAAAAAAGAAAUAGUUUAUUAAGCUUUGAAAACAUUAUUAACAUAUAUUAAAACAACCGUGUAACAUGCAUAUAAAAUAUGAAUUAAAAUUAUUGGCUUCUUAAUGUCAAAAUUAGAUGUGUCAAAAAUGAGCUCAAUUAUAGGUAACCCGCUCAUAAUUUUAAGGGUUGGAUUCCAUCUCAACUCAUUCAAACUUUAGCUUAUUUUCAAAUAAUCCUCAAUUGAGCCUAAUUUAAUCUCCAAUUUCAACAUGUUUUAAGACUCUUUAUUUGCAUUGAUGUAAUGUAUGUACCUAUAUUAAAUGUAUGAAUUACUAUCUAUUUUAUAUCUUUUAGGAUUUAUCUAUUUAUUUUUAAGUUCUUUUUUAAAAUUUUCAUGAAUUAAAAUUCAAAUAGUGGUUAUAAAACUUAAAUAAGAAUGUAUUAAAAUUAUUGAGAUUAAGCGGAUCAAGAUUCAACCCGUUUUAAAGCCCAUUUGAGCUCAAAAUAAACCUGGGCGGGUCAGUAUCCAACCCAAUUUCUAUUUCUACCCAUUUUAAUAUUUUUGAUUUCAACCCAAUCCACCCAUUUGACGCGCCUACUCAUAAUGAACAGAACAAGGAGAAGAGCUUGUAAAUUACAUUCCGGGGAUUACACCAAUUUGUGUAAAGGAUCUCCCACCUGUGUUCCACUGCAAAUACCGGGAGAUGUUGCACUUGAUUCUUGAAGUUGUAUUACAGUUGGUCAAUAUAGCACAAUACGCCCUGUUCACCACCAUUGAACCAUUGGAAUCUCAAGUAAUUGAGGCUUUACAAGCUGAAAUUCCAGUCCCCAUUUUCACAGUUGGUCCAACAAUCCCUUACUUGGAUACCGAAUUCAAGACUAACCAGCCUUGUCCUAACUACUUGUCAUGGCUUGAUGAUCAACCUAAGGACUCUGUUCUAUACAUAUCCCAAGGAAGUUUCUUGUCAGUAUCAAAUACACAGUUAGAUGAAAUUAUAGCGGGUGCGCACAGCAGUGGUGUCCGUACAUUUUGGGUGGCACGUGAAACUUCUUCCUUACUUAUAACAGAUGGA